UGAACGCUGGCGGCAGGCCUAACACAUGCAAGUCGAGCGGUAGCACAGAGAGCUUGCUCUCGGGUGACGAGCGGCGGACGGGUGAGUAAUGUCUGGGAAACUGCCUGAUGGAGGGGGAUAACUACUGGAAACGGUAGCUAAUACCGCAUAAYGUCGCAAGACCAAAGUGGGGGACCUUCGGGCCUCAUGCCAUCAGAUGUGCCCAGAUGGGAUUAGCUAGUAGGUGGGGUAACGGCUCACCUAGGCGACGAUCCCUAGCUGGUCUGAGAGGAUGACCAGCCACACUGGAACUGAGACACGGUCCAGACUCCUACGGGAGGCAGCAGUGGGGAAUAUUGCACAAUGGGCGCAAGCCUGAUGCAGCCAUGCCGCGUGUGUGAAGAAGGCCUUCGGGUUGUAAAGCACUUUCAGCGGGGAGGAAGGCGUUAAGGUUAAUAACCUUGGCGAUUGACGUUACCCGCAGAAGAAGCACCGGCUAACUCCGUGCCAGCAGCCGCGGUAAUACGGAGGGUGCAAGCGUUAAUCGGAAUUACUGGGCGUAAAGCGCACGCAGGCGGUCUGUCAAGUCGGAUGUGAAAUCCCCGGGCUCAACCUGGGAACUGCAUUCGAAACUGGCAGGCUAGAGUCUUGUAGAGGGGGGUAGAAUUCCAGGUGUAGCGGUGAAAUGCGUAGAGAUCUGGAGGAAUACCGGUGGCGAAGGCGGCCCCCUGGACAAAGACUGACGCUCAGGUGCGAAAGCGUGGGGAGCAAACAGGAUUAGAUACCCUGGUAGUCCACGCCGUAAACGAUGUCGAUUUGGAGGUUGUGCCCUUGAGGCGUGGCUUCCGGAGCUAACGCGUUAAAUCGACCGCCUGGGGAGUACGGCCGCAAGGUUAAAACUCAAAUGAAUUGACGGGGGCCCGCACAAGCGGUGGAGCAUGUGGUUUAAUUCGAUGCAACGCGAAGAACCUUACCUGGUCUUGACAUCCACAGAACUUWSCAGAGAUGSWUUGGUGCCUUCGGGAACUGUGAGACAGGUGCUGCAUGGCUGUCGUCAGCUCGUGUUGUGAAAUGUUGGGUUAAGUCCCGCAACGAGCGCAACCCUUAUCCUUUGUUGCCAGCGGUUMGGCCGGGAACUCAAAGGAGACUGCCAGUGAUAAACUGGAGGAAGGUGGGGAUGACGUCAAGUCAUCAUGGCCCUUACGACCAGGGCUACACACGUGCUACAAUGGCAUAUACAAAGAGAAGCGACCUCGCGAGAGCAAGCGGACCUCAUAAAGUAUGUCGUAGUCCGGAUUGGAGUCUGCAACUCGACUCCAUGAAGUCGGAAUCGCUAGUAAUCGUAGAUCAGAAUGCUACGGUGAAUACGUUCCCGGGCCUUGUACACACCGCCCGUCACACCAUGGGAGUGGGUUGCAAAAGAAGUAGGUAGCUUA
rnacentral:rRNA from 1 species